rnacentral:rRNA from 1 species
GACGAACGCUGGCGGCGUGCUUAACACAUGCAAGUCGAACGGAAAGGCCCUGCUUUUGUGGGGUGCUCGAGUGGCGAACGGGUGAGUAACACGUGAGUAACCUGCCCUUGACUUUGGGAUAACUUCAGGAAACUGGGGCUAAUACCGGAUAGGAGCUCCUGCUGCAUGGUGGGGGUUGGAAAGUUUCGGCGGUUGGGGAUGGACUCGCGGCUUAUCAGCUUGUUGGUGGGGUAGUGGCUUACCAAGGCUUUGACGGGUAGCCGGCCUGAGAGGGUGACCGGCCACGUUGGGACUGAGAUACGGCCCAGACUCCUGCGGGAGGCAGCAGUGGGGAAUAUUGCACAAUGGGCGGAAGCCUGAUGCAGCAACGCCGCGUGCGGGAUGACGGCCUUCGGGUUGUAGACCGCUUUCGCCUGUGGCGAAGCGUGAGUGACGGUAAUGGGUAAAGAAGCACCGGCUAACUCCGUG